rnacentral:rRNA from 1 species
AUACGAAGGGGGCUAGCGUUGUUCGGAAUCACUGGGCGUAAAGCGCGCGUAGGUGGAUCAAUUAGUUGAGGGUGAAAUCCCGGGGCUCAACCUCGGAACUGCCUUCAAUACUGUUGAUCUUGAGACCGAGAGAGGUGAGUGGAAUUCCUAGUGUAGAGGUGAAAUUCGUAGAUAUUGGGAAGAACACCAGUGGCGAAGGCGGCUCACCGGCUCGGUACUGACGCUGAGGUGCGAAAGCGUGGGGAGCAAACAGGAUUAGAAACCCCAGUAGUCC